GGUUAGUGUAACUGCAUAUGCAUGAGGGGCGGGGCCCAGCAUGCCCAAACUAGAGGGGAGGUGCUGCCCCUUUACCUUCUCACCCUUCCCCCAAGAUUACACCACCGGGGCACUUGGACCGCAGAUCCAGUAUCCCCACACAGCUGCUGGACCCAGGGUGGGAGAAGCAGGCAUAAAACAUGCGAGAAGUCCUGGAUUUCGAGUCCCGGGAAGGCGGAGCCAAUAGAGCCAGGACGGAGAACGCUCAAGGUCAAGUCAUACACUUGUACUCCAGAUGGGGGACGUGGAGGAGGCUGAGAGUGUUGAGAUGGAUCAUGGAUGAGGGCAAGGUUAGAGUGCUGCAGGCCUGAACCAGGACAGUGGUAAAGGGCAGCUUCGUGGACACCCCUUGGACCACUCAUCCUGACCCAUUAGCUAGCAUCCCUGUCUUAUAUUAUAAGCAGGGCAAAUGAGAGAACUUUGACCCAAAUAAUCCACUGUCCAGAGGUUCCUCACAGCACCAAGGGAGGGGACCAAAGCCACACAAAGACUGUCAUCCCCACUGGGGAAUGGAGAAAAGCCACAUCAGCUAGAGAGAGGCUGCAUGAAGGCCGGAGCCCAGGCCCCUGACUGUCACAUCAUGCUCUCCCCACUGGAUAUCCCUGUGUCCAGUCCAAUUUUUUACUUUUGGUAGGGCUCCUGGAAUAUCGUGGGUGGUAAGGGAAUCUGACAAGGCAAACACGGCCUGAAUCCCCACUCCCAGAGGCCCAACCCCUGCAAAAUCCCCCAGGGUCUGGGCGGUGGGGGUAGUAGCUCACUCCUGAGGGCUUUGGUGAGGAUUUCCAGAGCUUCAUUCUCCAUGAGGUCCAUCAGAGGCAGUGGCAGCUGGAGAGGCAGCAAGAGGCUCAGAUGUCCCAGGGACCCCAGCCCUGCCCCAAGCUGAAAUGCCCCACCUGCUCCCUCUAGCCUCAAGACCCCCAACCAAGCUGCCUGCCCCUCCCCUUUACAAACCACCCUUAUCCCUUCACCUCUGCAACUCCCAACUUGCCCAUCCCCACCCCACUAAAAUCCCCAGUCUCCCUGGGUACUUCUAACCCUGUUCUGCUGCUCCAUCCAGUAGGCUCGAUGAGGUGUGUGCUUUGAGAUAUUGAGCGAUGACUCUGAGGAAGUCAUUUCUGGGAGAAGAGAAAAAGAGAGGUUCCAGUUCUGACUUCCCCAUCAGACAAGGCUUAGGAGCAGUGACUGAAAAUUCCUGACCCUCAUGUUCUUCAUGGUCAAAUGGGGUAAUAAGAAUAACCCCUGGGGGGGGGGGCACCUGGGUGGCUCAGUGGGUUAAAGCCUCUGCCUUCGGCUCAAGUCAUGAUCCCAGAGUCCUGGGAUCUAGCCCCGCAUCAGGCUCUCUGGUCGGCGGGAAGCCUGCUUCCUCCUCUGUCUCUCUGCCUGCCUCUCUGCCUACUUGUGAUAUAUGUCUGUCAAAUAAAUAAUAAAUUUAAAAAAAAAAAAAAGAAUAACCCUUGGGGUGCCUGGGUGGCUCCGUGGGUUAAAGCCUCUGCCUUCAGCUCAGGUCAUGAUCCCGGGGUCCUUGGAUCCAGCCCUGCAUCAGGCUCUCUGCUCAGCCGGGAGCCUGCUUUCCCCUCUCCUUCUGCCUGGC